GGCUCCAGGGCUGUUUCUUGCCCCAAACAGCCCCCGCCGGAAACAAGCUUCCCUCACCCCUUCUCUGCCUGCAGCCCCAGCCCAGCUGGGAGCGAGUUUGUGCUCAAACUCUGGCCCGAGGAAGCAGGAUUGGAAAGAACAUCGGAUUUUUCCAGAAUCGAGCGGAGCCUUCUAGAGAGAUUUGAGACCAUCUGCCCCGGGGCUCACCCUGCCAUCCGGCUGCCACUUAGGAAAAUGCAUUCCGGGAGUGGACACAGCAGGAGUGGACGUGGACCCGCACCCCCACGUGACACAGCCACAGGGAAUGCAGGGAGGCUGGCCUGGCCCUGGCUAAUCCCAGCAUCUGUCAGUCAUCGACACGGCUUUACCCGGAAACAACACAAACGUCCAUCAAGAGGCCACCAGAGGGUCGUGUCUUCGUACAAUGGGACCCUCCCUCUUCCGCUGGAGAAAGGUGCAAACUCACGACAGAACAACACGGGAGAAUCUCAUCAGCGUCACGGAGAGCGAGAAGCAGCCAGAACCUGAGGGGACAUAUCGCAUAAUUCCAUUCCUAUGAACCGCCAGCAAAGACAAAUCUAAUCUCGAGUGACAGAAAGCAGAUC